rnacentral:pre_miRNA from 1 species
UUUCUACUCCCUCUGUCCGAAAAUACUUAUCAUCAAAAUGGAUAAAAAUAGAUGUAUCUAAAACUAAAAUACGUCUAGAUACAUUUCCUUUUAUCCAUUUUUAUGACAAGUAUUUCCGGACGGAGGGAGUAUUUG